rnacentral:rRNA from 1 species
UGCGGCAGCUACACAUGCAAGUCGAGCGGUAGAGAGAAGCUUGCUUCUCUUGAGAGCGGCGGACGGGUGAGUAAUGCCUAGGAAUCUGCCUGGUAGUGGGGGAUAACGCUCGGAAACGGACGCUAAUACCGCAUACGUCCUACGGGAGAAAGCAGGGGACCUUCGGGCCUUGCGCUAUCAGAUGAGCCUAGGUCGGAUUAGCUAGUUGGUGAGGUAAUGGCUCACCAAGGCGACGAUCCGUAACUGGUCUGAGAGGAUGAUCAGUCACACUGGAACUGAGACACGGUCCAGACUCCUACGGGAGGCAGCAGUGGGGAAUAUUGGACAAUGGGCGAAAGCCUGAUCCAGCCAUGCCGCGUGUGUGAAGAAGGUCUUCGGAUUGUAAAGCACUUUAAGUUGGGAGGAAGGGCAUUAACCUAAUACGUUGGUGUCUUGACGUUACCGACAGAAUAAGCACCGGCUAACUCUGUGCCAGCAGCCGCGGUAAUACAGAGGGUGCAAGCGUUAAUCGGAAUUACUGGGCGUAAAGCGCGCGUAGGUGGUUCGUUAAGUUGGAUGUGAAAUCCCCGGGCUCAACCUGGGAACUGCAUUCAAAACUGACGAGCUAGAGUAUGGUAGAGGGUGGUGGAAUUUCCUGUGUAGCGGUGAAAUGCGUAGAUAUAGGAAGGAACACCAGUGGCGAAGGCGACCACCUGGACUGAUACUGACACUGAGGUGCGAAAGCGUGGGGAGCAAACAGGAUUAGAUACCCUGGUAGUCCACGCCGUAAACGAUGUCAACUAGCCGUUGGGAGCCUUGAGCUCUUAGUGGCGCAGCUAACGCAUUAAGUUGACCGCCUGGGGAGUACGGCCGCAAGGUUAAAACUCAA